rnacentral:tRNA from 1 species
GUGGUGGCUCAGUGGUAGAGCACUUGCCUAGCAUGUGUGAGGUACUGGGUUCAAUCCUCAGCACCACA